rnacentral:rRNA from 1 species
UACGGGGGGGGCAAGCGUUGUUCGGAUUUACUGGGCGUAAAGGGCGCGUAGGCGGCGUGGUAAGUCACUUGUGAAAUCUCUGAGCUUAACUCAGAACGGCCAAGUGAUACUGCUGUGCUCGAGUGUGGAAGGGGCAAUCGGAAUUCUUGGUGUAGCGGUGAAAUGCGUAGAUAUCAAGAGGAACACCUGAGGUGAAGACGGGUUGCUGGGCCAACACUGACGCUGAGGCGCGAAAGCCAGGGGAGCAAACGGG